UGAUUUUUUAGUAUAAUUAGUAUAUUAAACUUCCAAUUUAAAGGUCUAAAAACUUAGAAAAAUUAG
rnacentral:tRNA from 1 species